rnacentral:lncRNA from 1 species
CUUUAAUCAUAUUUUGAAACACUCACGUUAGGUUUGGUGCUGGUUAGUUAAGCAGCACUUUACUGUGUGCCCGUUAAACCUAAAUACCACUUCAGCUGCUGAUCUAAGGCUUCUAAAUGGCAAAAUGUUUAGCCUGAAGCUUGAUAUAUGAUUAUUAUGACUAAAUUUAUCACAAAAUUGGAAAGAUACGGAUUUGAAGGGUUGACUGUUCAGUAGUUAAAGAAUUGGCUGGAUGUGGUCAGAGAAUUGUGGUUAACUAAUCUGUGUCCAGUUGGAGGCUCAUGACGAGUGGUGUCCUUUAGGGGUCUGUCUUGGGACCUGUGCUCUUCAAUAUCUUCAUUAAUGGCAUAGAGAGUGGGAUUGAGUGCAUCUCUGCAAGUUUGCUGAUGACGCCAAGCUGAGUGGUGCACUUCACACAAUAGAAGGAAGGGAUGCCAUCCAAAUGGGCCUGGAUGUGUUCAAAAAGUGGGCCCAUGAGAACCUAAUGAGUUUCAACAAGGCCAAGUGCAGGGUGUUGCAUAUGAUUGGGGCAAUCCUAGAUAUGAGUACAGACUGGGAGAAGAACUCAUUGUGAACCAUGCAAAGAAGGACUGGAGGGUGUGCUGGUGGAUGGAAAGCUGGACAUGUGCCAACUCUGUGCAUUUGUGACACAGAAAGCCACAAGUAUACUGGACUGACUGCAUCAAAAGAACAGUGGCCAGCAAGGCAAGGGAUGCAAUUUUCCCCCUCUAUUCUACCCUCCGGAGUCCUUAGGUCAAAUUUUCAGGGUGGAAAAAAAAAAAAAGCCCCAGCAAAAAUAGUAGUUUGAUUUUGCUGUUUUCUGUACGUGCACCCCAAUGGCAAAUGAACUUUCAUUUGGAGAGAAGUCCUGGUGAGAGAAGAAAGCAAGAAAAGCAUCAGGAUAACAUAGAAGCUGUGAGGGAGACAUUCCUUCUUCUAUGAGGCCUAUCUAAAUCUCUGUUUGAAAUACAGCAUAUCAUGUUUUAAUCCCCAAAGAUUUCCUUGUGUGUGCUAUUUGCUCAGUCUAUUUGUUUCCCACCCACAAGAAGACAGAAAAAGAACAUGGGCUCCUGCUCUUGUGCAUGGUGUCUUUUCCCAGGCGUUAGGAGAUUUUUGACUGCGACAAACUUCCCACUCAGUUAACACCUCCUUAUCUGAAGUCCAAGCACUUGCAUAUACGGACUAAGCUGGAGCGUGACUGCGAAGCACAGUAAUGCCCAGAGUGGAUGCUCUUGCUCAGCUCUCUCCUAGGG